rnacentral:rRNA from 1 species
ACGGAAGGCAGCAGUGGGGAAUAUUGCACAAUGGGGGAAACCCUGAUGCAGCGACGCCGCGUGAGUGAAGAAGUUAUUCGUAAUGUAAAGCUCUAUCAGCAGGGAAGAAAAUGACGGUACCUGACUAAGAAGCCCCGGCUAACUACGUGCCAGCAGCCGCGGUAAUACGUAGGGGGCAAGCGUUAUCCGGAUUUACUGGGUGUAAAGGGAGCGUAGACGGUCUGGCAAGCCUGAUGUGAAAGGCAGGGGCUCAACUCCUGGACUGCAUUGGAAACUGUCAGUCUUGAGUGUCGGAGAGGUAAGCGGAAUUCCUAGUGUAGCGGUGAAAUGCGUAGAUAUUAGGAGGAACACCAGUGGCGAAGGCGGCUUACUGGACGAUAACUGACGUUGAGGCUCGAAAGCGUGGGGAGCAAACAGGAUUAGAUACCCUGGUA